rnacentral:lncRNA from 1 species
GCGGCGGUGCGGCCUGGUGGCCCCGACGUUAGCGGCGCAGCCUUGCAGCAGGAUCUGCUCAUGCAGUGAUGGGAAUCCUUGGGAUCCACCUGACUCUGCGUGGCCAUAAGCUGCACUGUGGUGGGAUUAGUGGCAUUAAAGUUCUCAAAUGUUCUGACCUGGACCUGGAACCUAGCUCCCCAAAGAGC